rnacentral:tRNA from 1 species
GGAGAUUUAGCUCAGUGGUAGAGCGCUUGCCUAGCAAGCGCAAGGCCCUGGGUUCGGUUCCCAGCUCCG